rnacentral:rRNA from 1 species
UGAGCAAUCUGCCCUUCUCAUCGGAAUAAGCGUUGGAAACGACGUCUAAUGCCGAAUACGACCUCCUUUCGCAUGAUCGGAGGUGGAAAGCUCCGGCGGAGAAGGAUGAGCUCGCGGCCUAUCAGCUAGUUGGUGUGGGUAAUGGCUCACCAAGGCGACGACGGAUAACCGGCCUGAGAGGGCGACCGGUCACACUGGGACUGAGACACGGCCCAGACCUCCGUAGGGAGG